CUCCGGUUCGUCCCCGGAGGAGGGGGGGGGUGACUGUGGCGGCCAUCUUGUUUCCCAACUCACAGAUGGGAGGAGGUGGAGAAGCAGAGUUUCAGGGUGAAGGGGUUGGAGCUGUCUGUGGAGCACAGAUGUUACAGUCCACAGCUGUUUGGACUGCAGACCACAGCUCUGUACUGCGUCUGCUUCAGGUGAGAACUCACUGGGAAUUCUGAUCUGAUGGUGGUUGAGGACGGUCAGAGUCUCCACAGCUUCAGUUUUACUGUCAAACUCCAGCAGACCGGACAGAGUCUUGGAGCCAGCUGCUGGGAGGGAGAAGAAGAGCUGACAGACAGCUACACACUGAAGGAGUACAAAGGAGGUGCAGCUCGCACGGCCCGGUUGCCAUGGUGACUGAGCCUCAGCUUAUUUUGACACACAGAGCUGUAUGAUAACACAUUGACUGUUCUGAGACUGCUGUGGAGGGAAGUGAGCGAGGAAGUCAGACUUUCUGGUAAGUCAUGGUAAUAUGUCUCAGCACAGCAGAGCUCUGAUUGAUCUGAACUCCAUUCAGGGAACAAACAUUUUAAAAGUAGUCUGCUUGUCGUCUGGUCGACAGACUGGACACAGCACGAGUUCAGACUUUUUACAUCAUGAUGUUGUUAUUUCAGCAUCUUCUGAUCUGUUUAUUGAGUCCAAUCACAGAGAAACCUCUUUGUUCUGGGUUCAUACUGAUGUGGUGAGACAGAUUCUUCAGUCUCCUUCUACUCGCAGCUGAGAUCUGCUUCAGGUAGAGCUGGAAGCUGCACUCAUCAACACGCAGCACCAGACACUGAAAGUCACCAAGCUCGGUGUUGUGCCACCCAACACAUUCUCUUCAUGUUUGGUCUCAACGCACCACAAGAACCUGUGUUUAUCCUGUGGGGACCAUGAAUUUACUAAGAACUGGUUGGUUGGAUGGAUGAUGGAUGAUGGAUGGAGCAGUAAUCUGAAUAAAUGAAGGGAACUCCUUUUGUUCAUCUUUCAUUUCAUGGUUGUAAACAUCUGAAGGACUGGUUCAUCAACACUUCAUCCUAUGAAGGACGGGCGGUCAGACUCGCUCCACUGAUGCUUUCUGUCUGAUCUGAACCGUGAGAUCAAAGGUGCUCUGAUGUCGGCUGAAGCCUGGAGACACUUACACCUCUGAAUAUAAUCCACCGCUGCACAUUCAGAACAUGCAAAUCAUGAGGGGGAGACACUGGCAGCGCAAUAAGACCUGCAUUUGAUUUGACUGAUGUAGAGAAACACAAGCUGACAUUUAGUUAGUGGUUUAAUUAUUUUAAUAUUUAAUCUCAUUCUGUCUGUUCUGUUUGAGAGCACUCCACUCAGAGAAGAGGAGAAUUAAAACAUCUGUCUGCCUGAAGUCAUUCAAAUCAAGAUUCAAACGUCGUAUUCCACAUUUAUCUACUGACUGUGUGAAGCAUCCUGUGAAAUCAUGUGACAAAACAUUAUAAAAGAUCAUGUAACGCUUAAAAAGAACAUCUAGAACCUCCUAAAACAUUUCACAGAGAUUUUAAAAUUCUGAAGAACAUCUUCCAUUUCAUCUGAGUACUUCAAACCUCCUGAGCGUCUAAAGACAUCUAGACACUGCUACAAUCUACAGAAGGACCUCUGGAAUCAAUCAGAGGAUCUUUACAACCACUUAAAGAACCACCAGAACCUGCUACAGGACAAACCUCUGAAGGAUCACUCUUUAAAUUUAAAUCAGACCCAACUGAUUGUAAACACUCUGAAAGAGCCGAUCAAACUUCCUUUCAACACUCAAACAUCCUCCAGGACUUAUUUUCUUUAGGCUCCCAGGAGAACCUGUUGGUCUUGAAGGACGACUGUUACUGAACAACAGAACCACGUUGUUCACUGGAGCGAGACUCGUGUGGUAAUGUGUUGUAAUAUGUGUUAGGUCAAACCUUGAGAAAUCUACAUAAAAAAUGAAAACAUUUCGAUGAGUAUUAAAACAUUGACCCUGAGCAGGAUUCAGUCUCAUAGGUUCUUUCAUCGAGGUCGACAGAUGGCUUCACUUCCUGCUGAGUGCAGGCACUUCCUGUCGCAGCCAGAACCUCCCAGAGAGGCCAUAUUGUCUCUCCAAGCACAGGAUCUGAGCCAGAUGACAUGAAUGAUUAAAAAAAACCUUCAACUAUCUGCAAGGAAUACAAAAAUAUCUCCACAUAUCUGGGAGCCACAUGACAGUCCGGCCUGAAACAUCUCUUGGAAGCUGCAAUGAAGCUGAAUUAAAGGUGUAAUCUGUAAAGAAAUGGCCAGAAACCAAAGGUAGCUCCAGCAGCUAGCAGUAUAACAGCUAGCUGCUGCUCACUGUGGUGUUAGCGAGUAGCUCAGUUAGCCAUGGUGGCCGGCACCACAUGCACCACAAGUGACAGCAGCCUCCAGUGAAGACAAGAGUGACGGAGAUCAGUGUGAGGACAGAGGACACAGUACAGAGGCGAUUUACAGUACAGAGGUGAUUUACAGCAGCUCUGACAAGGACUAUGACUCCGAGGAUGAGAGGAAACAUCAGGAGAGGACAGAAAGGGAGAGUCGGACAUCAUCAGCGUUUAGAGACAUAAUAUCUUCAUAAGUUACUGUGAACUGAGUAAAUGGUUCUUGUGACUCUGACUCAGUUUGAGUCCAAUUUGAAUGAAGUGAGUCUGACGAUGAUUUAACAAGCAGAUUAAACUGGUCUGAGUUCAGUCAGAGACAGAAACUUGAGCUCAGAUGGUGGAUGGUUUGAUUUUUCUGUUCAUGAUGAAAAUAGGAGUCAAAAUAUUUCCUUUCUUCACAUUUAUGAGUUUGUGUUGUUGAUUGUUAGACUCAGUAGUGAACUGCCUGCUUUUACAUCUCCAGAUAAAACUACAGGCUGUCAGACUGUCACCUCUGAGACAGAGAGAGGGCUGUGAGGAGGCUAGCUGUUAGCAUGCUAACUCCAGUAGAAAUUCUGCAUCACAGAACAGAGACGACUGUUUCUCUCAGACUGCUCCUUUAAACUACAGACUGAACCUUUAAUCUACAGACUGCUCCUUUAAUCUACAGACUGCUCCUUUAAACUACAGACUGAA